GAAGUGUGGACGCCAGUCUGCAUGGAGCCGACCUUGAAAUACCACCCUUUAAUGUUUGAUGUUCUAACGUUGACCCGUGAUCCGGGUUGCGGACAGUGUCUGGUGGGUAGUUUGACUGGGGCGGUCUCCUCCUAAAGAGUAACGGAGGAGCACGAAGGUUGGCUAAUCCUGGUCGGACAUCAGGAGGUUAGUGCAAUGGCAUAAGCCAGCUUGACUGCGAGCGUGACGGCGCGAGCAGGUGCGAAAGCAGGUCAUAGUGAUCCGGUGGUUCUGAAUGGAAGGGCCAUCGCUCAACGGAUAAAAGGUACUCCGGGGAUAACAGGCUGAUACCGCCCAAGAGUUCAUAUCGACGGCGGUGUUUGGCACCUCGAUGUCGGCUCAUCACAUCCUGGGGCUGAAGUAGGUCCCAAGGGUAUGGCUGUUCGCCAUUUAAAGUGGUACGCGAGCUGGGUUUAGAACGUCGUGAGACAGUUCGGUCCCUAUCUGCCGUGGGCGCUGGAGAACUGAGGGGGGCUGCUCCUAGUACGA
rnacentral:rRNA from 1 species